CCUACGGGAGGCUGCAGUGGGGAAUAUUGGGCAAUGGGCGCAAGCCUGACCCAGCAACGCCGCGUGAAGGAAGAAGGCUUUCGGGUUGUAAACUUCUUUUCUCAGGGACGAAGAAAGUGACGGUACCUGAGGAAUAAGCCACGGCUAACUACGUGCCAGCAGCCGCGGUAAUACGUAGGUGGCAAGCGUUAUCCGGAUUUAUUGGGUGUAAAGGGCGUGUAGGCGGGAGCGCAAGUCAGGUGUGGAAACUCAGGGCUCAACCCGGAGCCUGCAUUUGAAACUGUGUUUCUUGAGUGCUGGAGAGGCGAUGGGAAGUGGGGGGGGAGCGGGG
rnacentral:rRNA from 1 species